rnacentral:rRNA from 1 species
CCUACGGGUGGCUGCAGUGGGGAAUAUUGCACAAUGGGCGCAAGCCUGAUGCAGCCAUGCCGCGUGUGUGAAGAAGGCCUUCGGGUUGUAAAGCACUUUCAGCGGGGAGGAAGGCGUUAAGGUUAAUAACCUUGGCGAUUGACGUUACCCGCAGAAGAAGCACCGGCUAACUCCGUGCCAGCAGCCGCGGUAACACGGAGGGUGCAAGCGUUAAUCGGAAUUACUGGGCGUAAAGCGCACGCAGGCGGUCUGUCAAGUCGGAUGUGAAAUCCCCGGGCUCAACCUGGGAACUGCAUUCGAAACUGGCAGGCUAGAGUCUUGUAGAGGGGGGUAGAAUUCCAGGUGUAGCGGUGAAAUGCGUAGAGAUCUGGAGGAAUACCGGUGGCGAAGGCGGCCCCCUGGACAAAGACUGACGCUCAGGUGCGAAAGCGUGGGGAGCAAACAGGAUUAGAUACCCGGGUAGUC